AUGGCUAAGUUGAAGAAGCAAGUCAAGCGCACCAAAGAAAUUCUGAGCGCAUAUACCCCUGCUCCAAUCUCAGUUGAAUCUCUCUAUAAUGAUACCGAUUUCAGAAGCAGCAUAACACGUGAAAAAUUUGAAGAGCUUUGUGCAUAUUUAUGGGAGCAGGCUCUGUCUCCAAUCAAAGAUGUGCUCACGCAUUCAGGCAUGAAAAUUGGUGACGUAUAUGCUGUAGAGCUAAUUCGAGGAGCUACCAGGGUACCGAAACUGCAGGCUAAGCUGCAGGAAUUCCUGGGAUGGAGUGAGCUAGAUAAGCACCUUGAUGCUGAUGAAGCAAUUGUUCUUGGCGCCUCACGACAUGCUGCUAAUCUAAGUGAUGGGAUUAAGUUGAACCGCAAGUUGGGGAUGAUUGACAGUUCUACUUAUGGUUUCGUGUUUGAAAUAGAUGGCCCAGAUUUUGUCAAAGAUGAAAGUACUGAUCAAGUACUGGUUCCAAGGAUGAAAAAGAUGCCAAUAAAGUUGUUCAGGUCCAUCAAAUAUACUAAGGACUUUGAUGUGUCUCUCAGCUAUGACAAAGCUUCUGAAUUGCCCCCAGGUGUUUUAUUGCAAAUGUUUGCAGAGUACGCCAUAUCAGGCCUGACAGAAACCAGUGAAAAGGAUGGGUUAGGGUUUGCUGUUGGAUCCAACAUUUUUCUGUUGAUGGUUGUCGUCUGCUCAUGCUCUUGA
rnacentral:rRNA from 1 species